rnacentral:rRNA from 1 species
UACGGAGGGGGCUAGCGUUGUUCGGAAUUACUGGGCGUAAAGCGCACGUAGGUGGCUAUCCAAGUUGGGGGUGAAAUCCCUGGGCUUAACCCAGGAACUGCCUCCAAAACUGGGUAGCUAGAGUCCGAGAGAGGUGAGUGGAAUUUCCAGUGUAGAGGUGAAAUUCGUAGAUAUUGGAAAGAACACCAGUGGCGAAGGCGGCUCACUGGCUCGGUACUGACACUGAGGUGCGACAGCGUGGGGAGCAAACAGG